rnacentral:lncRNA from 1 species
UUCUAGGACAAAUGUCCCUAUUUGUAAAGAAGUAAGGAGGUCGGAGUCUUCAAACCACAGGUCAGUCAGCUUGAUUUCAAUGCUUCAUAAAAUUUUAGAACUGGUCAUCAAAGAGAUUGUUGUCAGGGCAGCUAGAUAGCACAGUGGAUACUUCCUAGCUGUGUGACUCUGGGCAAGUCACUUAACCCCUUGUUGCCUAGUCCUUGCUGCUCUUCUGUCUUAGGACUGAUACUUGAUAGUAAGACAGAAGGUAUGGGUUUGUUGUUGUUUUUGUUGUUGUUUUUUCCAAGAUAGAUUUUUUUUUACUUUUGAAGUUUAUUGAAAGGGAGUAUUGAAACAUAACUACGGAGUUAGGAAAGAAAUCAUUCAAUGGUUGGUGUUGCAUAUUUUGCCACUGCCAUGAAUAGAACAAUUUAAAAUGAUAAAUAGGAAUUAUAUAUUCAAACCUUUGACCAAAAAAAUCAUUUAGCACAUUUUUAAGUAAAACAAAAGGGGCAGUUAGGUAGCACAGUGGAUGGAGCUCCGUGCCUAGUGUCUGGAGGAGUUGGGUUCAAAUCUAGCUUCAGGCAUUUCUUGGCUUUGUGACCCUGGGCUAGUCAUUUAACCCCAAUUACUUAGCUUUUGCUGCUCUCCUGUCUUAAAAUUAAUACUGAGACAGAAGGUAAGGGUCUUACAAAUAAAUAACAAUAAUAAAGUACAACAAAAAAUUGGAAAAUGAACAUUAAAAAGAUUGUAUCCCUAAAUUAAACAGGAAAAAAAUCACUACCCAUCCAGGAUUCCAUUAUUUUGUAGUUGGGAUGUCUGUGUAGAACUUGUCAUUCAUUGUAGCAAUAGAAAAAGAUCAGAACUCAGAACUCCAGCAAUGGAGGAUACAACGCUUUCUGAGACUGGUCAAGUGAGCAUUUCCCAAAGGCAAACAGCAACAGAGCACAAACUGAGACAGUCUCUUUGCAAACAGAGCAUUCUAAUAUUGUCCUACUCUGCUGCCUGGGAUCAGAUCACCUAGGAUGAUGUAAUCAUGAGGACAUCAACUGGUCAGAGAACCUGAACCUUCUGUGACUAGACUGCAUUCCAGACAAAAAAACUACAUUUCCUAGUUAUGUUUCUACAAAUGUUUGUAGAGUAUGUUUUUAUUUUUAAUCUCGAAUGUUUUUUUUUAAAUGUGUGAGCUGGGGAAUAUUAUUUGGUGGCUAUCUCCAAAUGCAAGACUACUUCAUUUGUAAAGUCAUGGCAAAGAUUCUGUGUUCUCAUUUUGCUCUGCAAGGAAUGAAUACUGGUUGAAUUAUUAUUUCCACUUUCUCUUUCCAUUCCUUACUUAAAACUUCUCUCCCCAUUCAGUUAUCUAGUAUCCUAAAUCCAUAAAGAGACUAGUGAGCAAUCUAAG